rnacentral:rRNA from 1 species
AGCGAACGCUGGCGGCAGGCCUAACACAUGCAAGUCGAACGAACUCUUCGGAGUUAGUGGCGGACGGGGGAGGAACACGUGGGAACGUGCCUUUAGGUACGGAAUAACUCAGGGAAACUUGUGCUAAUGCAGGAUGAGCCAUUCUGGGGAAAGAUAUAUCGCCUUUGUAGCGGCACGCGUCUGAUUAGCUGGUUGGGGAGGUAAGGGCGCAUCACGGCGACGAUCAGUAGCUGGUCUCAGAGGAUGGUCAGCCACUCUGGGACUGAGACACGGCCCAAACUCCUGCGCGAGGCAGCAGUGGGUAAUCUUGCGCAAUCGGCUAAAGCCUGACGCAGCCAUGCCGCGAGAAUGAUGAAGGUCUUAGGAUUGUAAAAUUCUUUAACCGGGGACUAUAAUGACGGUACCCGGAGAAGAAGCCCCGGCUAACUUCGUG